UAGGGAAUCUUCGGCAAUGGGGGCAACCCUGACCGAGCAACGCCGCGUGAGUGAAGAAGGUUUUCGGAUCGUAAAGCUCUGUUGUAAGUCAAGAACGAGUGUGAGAGUGGAAAGUUCACACUGUGACGGUAGCUUACCAGAAAGGGACGGCUAACUACGUGCCAGCAGCCGCGGUAAUACGUAGGUCCCGAGCGUUGUCCGGAUUUAUUGGGCGUAAAGCGAGCGCAGGCGGUUUGAUAAGUCUGAAGUUAAAGGCUGUGGCUCAACCAUAGUUCGCUUUGGAAACUGUCAAACUUGAGUGCAGAAGGGGAGAGUGGAAUCCCAUGUGUAGCGGUGAAAUGCGUAGAUAUAUGGAGGAACACCGGUGGCGAAAGCGGCUCUCUGGUCUGUAACUGACGCUGAGGCUCGAAAGCGUGGGGAGCGAACAGGAUUAGAUACCCUGGUAGUCCACGCCGUAACGAUGAGUGCUAGGUGUUGGAUCCUUUCCGGGAUUCAGUGCCGCAGCUAACGCAUUAAGCACUCCGCCUGGGGAGUACGACCGCAAGGUU
rnacentral:rRNA from 1 species